rfam:Ixodes scapularis strain Wikel colony gcontig_1107728594136, whole genome shotgun sequence.
CCCUGGUUAGUCCAGUUGGUGGAGCGCUCCACUGAAAAUGGAGAGGUCUCUGGUUCGAUACCCGGACCAGGCG